GGCGGUGUAGCUCAACUGGUGAGAGCGCGCGGCUCAUAUCCGCGAGGUUGGGGGUUCAAGUCCCUCCACCGCUACCA
rnacentral:tRNA from 1 species